AUUGAACGCUGGCGGCAGGCUUAACACAUGCAAGUCGAGCGGAGAUGAGGUGCUUGCACCUUAUCUUAGCGGCGGACGGGUGAGUAAUGCUUAGGAAUCUGCCAUUUAGUGGGGGACAACAUUCCGAAAGGAAUGCUAAUACCGCAUACGUCCUACGGGAGAAAGCAGGGGAUCUUCGGACCUUGCGCUAAAUGAUGAGCCUAAGUCGGAUUAGCUAGUUGGUGGGGUAAAGGCCUACCAAGGCGACGAUCUGUGGCGGGUCUGAGAGGAUGAUCCGCCACACUGGGACUGGGACACGGCCCAGACUCCUACGGGAGGCAGCAGUGGGGAAUAUUGGACAAUGGGCGGAAGCCUGAUCCAGCCAUGCCGCGUGUGUGAAGAAGGCCUUUUGGUUGUAAAGCACUUUAAGCGAGGAGGAGGCUACUGAGACUAAUACUCUUGGAUAGUGGACGUUACUCGCAGAAUAAGCACCGGCUAACUCUGUGCCAGCAGCCGCCGUAAAAC
rnacentral:rRNA from 1 species